rnacentral:pre_miRNA from 1 species
UUUGAGGGGAAUGUUGUUUGGCUCGAGGUCAUUAGAAACCAUGGAUCUUUAUCUCUCUCUCUCUCUCUAUAUGUAUGUAUAUAUAUUGAUGUAUGUAAAUGAUGUUGUCAUGUUGUAAUCAAACCAUUUGAUCAACAGAUCCAUCAUCUAUGGUCUUUGUUGAUCAAUGAGUUUUAGAUUAAUUAUAUAAAGUGUUAAAGAGAGUAUCUUGAUCAUUGGAUCUGGUGUGCUCGGACCAGGCUUCAUUCCCCCCAAU